ACCUGAAGAAAAAGUACUAUGAGGAACCAAGGAAGGGGAUACAGGCUGAAGAGAUUCUGCAGACAUACUUGAAAUCCAAGGAGUCUGUGACUGAUGCAAUUCUCCAGACAGACCAGACUCUCACAGAAAAGGAAAAGGAGAUUGAAGGUGAGGAGUGAGUUAAAAGAUUAGAUGGCCUCAAAAGCUCCAAAAAUUGAAAUAACUUGACUGGAUAAACAUGGGACCCUUUAACUAGAGCAAGAUCCACAAAGUUGUGUCUUACUUGCUGAGGUCAUCUCUGAGUAGGGCAUAUGCAGUCAACAACAACGACAGGUAAGUGUAUAAGGAAGAAUGAGGCAACAAGAUAACCCCACACAAAUUUUUCUUCUUCCUUUUCCUCCACAGUGGAACGUGUGAAAGCAGAGUCUGCACAGGCUUCAGCAAAAAUGUUGCAGGAAAUGCAAAGAAAGAAUGAACAGAUAAUGGAACAGAAGGAGAGGAGUUAUCAGGAACACUUGAAACAACUGACUGAGAAGAUGGAGAGCGACAGGGCCCAGUUGCUGAAAGAGCAAGAGAGGACCCUCGCUCUUAAACUUCAGGAACAGGAGCGACUACUAAAAGAGGGAUUUCA
rnacentral:sRNA from 1 species